UACAGGAGGGUGCGAGCGUUGUCCGGAAUCACUGGGCGUAAAGGGCGCGUAGGCGGCCUGAUAAGUAGGGGGGUGAAAUCCUGCGGCUUAACCGCAGGGCUGCCUUCUAAACUGUCAGGCUCGAGCACAGUAGAGGCAGGUGGAAUUCCCGGUGUAGCGGUGGAAUGCGUAGAGAUCGGGAAGAACAUCAGUGGCGAAGGCGGCCUGCUGGGCUGUUGCUGACGCUGAGGCGCGACAGCGUGGGGAGCAAACAGG
rnacentral:rRNA from 1 species